UUCUGAGAACGUACAACUGGGAGAUGUCCAACAAGAACGAUGGAAUUCUGUUAAUCUUAAGAUGUCUUAUCAUGGAAACAAUUUAGAUUCCGCUUACCUUUGAAACUUGCUGCUAUUUCUUCUCAGCAACGGUUUAUACUGGGGUUGGUUUUUGCAAAAAGUUGUGUGGCGUUUCCAUUGUUAGAAGUGGUGAAAGCAUGGAAAACUCAUUACGCGCAUGUUGCAAAGGAAUAAAAAUUGGAAAAAUUUUGAUUCACCGUGAGGGAGAUGGUGGCAAACAGCUUAUAUACGAGAAGCUUCCCAAGGAUAUUUCAGAGGGCAUGUUCUUCUUCUUGACCCAGUUCUUGCUACAGGUAAGCU